rnacentral:rRNA from 1 species
AUUGAACGCUGGCGGCAGGCUUAACACAUGCAAGUCGAGCGGGGUGAUGGUGCUUGCACUAUCACUUAGCGGCGGACGGGUGAGUAAUGCUUAGGAAUCUGCCUAUUAGUGGGGGACAACAUCUCGAAAGGGAUGCUAAUACCGCAUACGUCCUACGGGAGAAAGCAGGGGAUCACUUGUGACCUUGCGCUAAUAGAUGAGCCUAAGUCGGAUUAGCUAGUUGGUGGGGUAAAGGCCGACCAAGGCGACGAUCUGUAGCGGGUCUGAGAGGAUGAUGCGCCACACUGGGACUGAGACACGGCCCAGACUCCUGCGUGAGGCAGCAGUGGGGAAGAUUGGACAAUGGGGAGAACCCUGAUCCAGCCAUGCCGCGUGUGUGAAGAAGGCCUUAUGGUUGUAAAGCACUUUAAGCGAGGAGGAGGCUCUUUUGGUUAAUACCCAAGAUGAGUGGACGUUACUCGCAGAAUAAGCACCGGCUAACUCUGUGCCAGCCGCCGCAGUAA